AAACCCAGUUUUUGAUUCUUUCGAGCAAUGGCAAUACAUCCACCUCGAAAUCCCAAAACCCACCUCACUAUCAACAUUAGAGACAGACAGACUCAGCAAAUAGGCUUCCACGUUUCUAUACAUGCAGCAGAACAAGCCAUAGCCAGAACAGAACAGAGACUAUUUCUUCCUCUCAGUGAUAUCCCCAGGGCACAAUCAGCACCUCUCACUUUGCCACACCAGCACACUGGCCAAUCCACUGUUGCAC
rnacentral:misc_RNA from 1 species